rnacentral:rRNA from 1 species
AGUUUGAUCCUGGCUCAAGAUGAACGCUGGCGGCGUGCUUAACACAUGCAAGUCAAACGGGAAUUACUUUAUUGAAACUUCGGUCGAUUUAAUUUAAUUCUAGUGGCGGACGGGUGAGUAACGCAUGGGUAACCUGCCUUAUGCAGGGGAAUAACAGUCAGAAAUGGCUGCUAAUACCGCAUAAGCGCACAGAGCUGCGUGGCUCAAUGUGAAAAACUCCGGUGGUAUAAGAUGGACCCGCGUUGGAUUAGCUUGUUGGUGGGGUAACGGCCUACCAAGGCAACGAUCAGUAGGCGACCUGAGAGGGUGACCGGCCACAUUGGGACUGAGACACGGCCCAAACUCCUACGGGAGGCAGCAGGGGGGAAUAUUGCACAAUGGGCGAAAGCCUGAUGCAGCGACGCCGCGUGAACGAUAAAGUAUUUCGGUAUGUAAAGUUCUAUCAACAAGGAAGAAAAAAUGACGGUACCUGACUAACAAGCCCCGGCUAACUACAUGCCAGCAGCCGCGGUAAUACUUACGGGGCAAGCGUCAUCCUGAUUUACUGGGUGUAAAGGGAGCGUAGACAGCAUGGCAAGUCUGAAGUGAAAGCCCGGGGCUCAAACUCCGGACUGCUUUGGAAACUGUUAGGCUCCAGUGCUGGAGAGGUAAGUGGAAUUCCUAGUGUAGCGGUGAAAUGCGUAGAUAUUAGGAGGAACACCAGUGGCGAAGGCGGCUUACUGGACAGUGAUUGACGUUGAUGUUCGACAGUGUGGGGAGCAAACAGGAUUAGAUACCCUGGUAGUCCACGCCGUAAACGAUGAAUGCUAGGUGUUGGGGAGCAAAGCUCUUUGGUGCCGCAGCAAAUGCAUUAAGCAUUCCACCUGGGGAGUACGUUGGCAAGAAUGAAACUCAAAGGAAUUGACGGGGACCCGCACAAGCGGUGGAGCAUGUGGUUUAAUUGGAAGCAACGCGAAGAACCUUACCAGGUCUUGACAUCCCGAUGACCGGUCUGUAACGGGGCCUUCUCUUCGGAGCAUCGGAGACAGGUGGUGCAUGGUUGUGUGUCAGCUCGUGUUGUGAGAUGUUGGGUUAAGUCCCGCAAUGAGCGCAACCCUUAUUCUCAGUAGCCAGCAGGUCAAGCUGGGCACUCUGUGGAGUCUGCCAGGGAUACCUUGGAGGAAGGUGGGGAUGAUGUCAAAUCAUCAUGCCCCUUAUGAUGUGGGCUACACACGUGCUACAAUGGCGUAAACAAAGGGAGGCAAAGCCGCGAGGUGGAGCAAAUCCCAAAAAUCAUGUCUCAGUUCGGUCUGCAGUCUGCAAUUCGAAUGCAAGAAGCUGGAAUCGCUAGUAAUCGCGAAUCAGAA